rnacentral:rRNA from 1 species
CCUACGGGUGGCAGCAGUAGGGAAUAUUGCUCAAUGGGGGAAACCCUGAAGCAGCAACGCCGCGUGGAGGAUGAAGGUUUUAGGAUUGUAAACCCCUUUUGUUAGAGAAGAUUAUGACGGUAUCUAACGAAUAAGCACCGGCUAACUCCGUGCCAGCAGCCGCGGUAAUACGGAGGGUGCAAGCGUUACUCGGAAUCACUGGGCGUAAAGAGUGCGUAGGCGGGGUAAUAAGUCAGAUGUGAAAUCCUGUAGCUUAACUACAGAACUGCAUUUGAAACUGUUACUCUGGAGUGUGGGAGAGGUAGGUGGAAUGCUUGGUGUAGGGGUAAAAUGCGUAGAGAUCAAGAGGAAUACUGAUUGCGAAGGCGACCUGCUGGAACAUUACUGACGCUGAUGCACGAAAGCGUGGGGAGCAAACAGGAUUAGAUACCCGAGUAGUC